CACGCAAUUCAACCCAAUCUAGAAUUGAUAUGACUUGCAGUUGGUGCUAUCUUAUGGUAAGCAUGUUUGAAUUGGAACAUUGAAUGGGGUGACCUAUCGAAAAGUGAUUCGGAUAUCGUGCGAGUGAGACCAAAUCACAGUAAUUGAUCUCGUCAUGCUUGUAGAGUCUGUAAAUUAAUGUUUUUAGUCUCUCAAAAUUUAUGCACCGGUCUUCACAUGGGAUGGGAGUCAUGGGCCAAGAGAACAAGUACGCGAGUUUCAUUUUUCAUGGAGUCAAGGGUGUUACAUAUGGUAUCAGAGCAUGCUUCCAUCUC
rnacentral:lncRNA from 1 species